UGGGGAAUAUUGCACAAUGGGCGCAAGCCUGAUGCAGCCAUGCCGCGUGUAUGAAGAAGGCCUUCGGGUUGUAAAGUACUUUCAGCGGGGAGGAAGGCGAUGUGGUUAAUAACCGCGUCGAUUGACGUUACCCGCAGAAGAAGCACCGGCUAACUCCGUGCCAGCAGCCGCGGUAAUACGGAGGGUGCAAGCGUUAAUCGGAAUUACUGGGCGUAAAGCGCACUCAGGCGGUCUGUCAAGUCGGAUGUGAAAUCCCCGGGCUCAACCUGGGAACUGCAUCCGAAACUGGCAGGCUUGAGUCUCGUAGAGGGGGGUAGAAUUCCAGGUGUAGCGGUGAAAUGCGUAGAGAUCUGGAGGAAUACCGGUGGCGAAGGCGGCCCCCUGGACGAAGACUGACGCUCAGGUGCGAAAGCGUGGGGAGCAAACA
rnacentral:rRNA from 1 species